UACGUAGGUGGCGAGCGUUAUCCGGAAUUAUUGGGCGUAAAGAGCGCGCAGGUGGUUGAUUAAGUCUGAUGUGAAAGCCCACGGCUUAACCGUGGAGGGUCAUUGGAAACUUGUCGACUUGAGUGCAGAAGAGGGAAGUGGAAUUCCAUGUGUAGCGGUGAAAUGCGUAGAGAUAUGGAGGAACACCAGUGGCGAAGGCGGCUUCCUGGUCUGUAACUGACACUGAGGCGCGAAAGCGUGGGGAGCAAACAGGAUUAGAUA
rnacentral:rRNA from 1 species